GUGAUGCGUCGGAGGCUCUGUUUACAACAUUGCAUGCGUCAUACUAAUGUAUUUGACCUCAACGCACGUUCAAAAUGUUAAAGAAUCAAGUAUUUUUAGUUUUUCAUGAAAGCAAAAUUGUCCAAAUUUUAAUUUUUGAUGCUUAAGUAAUCAUCAGCACCAUAUUUAUCAGAGAUGUAAGGGAAUGAAGGAUGCAGCACAAUAAUCACCAAGACAAAAUUGCAACACUAAAAAUGAUCUCCGUUUUCGAUCGUGUAUGGAAUAAAGGACUGUUAUACAAAUUAAAGAAAUGUUUGCCUCCUAUUUAUUACUUACUUCUAAAAUCAUAUCUAACCGAUCAGCAUUUUUAUAUUCAUUAUAAAUCCUCUUAUUCCGACAUAGUAAAUAUUAGAGCCGGCGUACCACAAGGAGGUAUAUAUUCGCUUCAGACCAACCAACUACGCCUAACACCUCUGUGACAGAUUAUGCAGAUGAUAAAUUGGUGGAUUGAAGUUCUCCUUGAAAUCUGAGGCAAACACCUUCAUACGGUCCAAGCAGCUAAAAGAAUUAAAAAAAGCAAGUUUCAAAUAAAAUACAAGAUUUAAAAAAUCCUGAUUUUACCUAAGUUUGUUUAAUGAUAAUAAUUAAUAAUUUCGUUUUAAUACUAGGUUUGACUACAACAUUUUGAUUUUAAGGUUAAUUUUUACCAAAGCUAAAAUAUAUGCUAAUAUGUUCACGUAAGUAUUACUAAGUUACCGCUCUAAAUUAAAAAUUGACUAUAACAAAAAUUAUAUAUAAUAUCUCGUAAAUAAAUUUAACAUUGCAAUAUACUUCCAAUAAAAAUAAUCAGUUUUGAAUUCGAA